UAAAUGGGUGACAAAUGGACAACCAAUGACUGCAACUCGGGAAUACACGUUUUGAAUAGAAGCGAGUCAAUUUGCACAUUGUUUUUGUAUAGUUUUUCCUAUAGUAGCUACUUUUUAGAAUCUUUUGAUCACUCCAUUCAUUUUUGUGCGACGGAAAUGAAAGCGUUAGUCUUCUGGGUUACAUUUUCCUUUUCAUAGAUACAAGUAAUCGCUUUACAUUAUUUUUUCUUUUGAAAAAACAAAAAAAUAUGGUGUGGUCCCUUAAGCCUUUGAGGGUUUUUGUCUUUUGUUUCUGUUUGUUGUUUGUUUUUUGCCCUGGAUCCGUCGAUGGUCUAAAAAACUGCAUGUUUGUAUGACAUAAUCCGCGCAUGACUUUACUCGGCCUAGCUGUUCUGUGUGGUCACUUUGUGAUGGGUGGGUACUUGUCCGGGGGUAUACUGCAGUGAUGCCGCUCCCCCUCCUGCUGUCCCCGGCCCUGCCUCUGGGACGCUGGGUGCAGUCCUGGCCCCCUGCCCGUUGCCUUCUCUCCAACCAACAGAAUUUAUUGUUACAAAUUAAUAUCGACGCGCAGCAUUGUGUUGAUUGAACAAAGAUCACGGCAUUGUAGUGGGAAAACUAAUUUGCCAGUGGCAUCGCCCUUUUAACAGUUUAUCGCGUUUUUUAUGGCCCGGCCCUAAUUAAAACUAUUAGGCUAGUAUUGGAAUUACAAUCAAAUGGCAACAUGAAAGCUUCUUGGGGACAUAAAAGCUAUUUCAUUUAUUUGAUCUAGUGGCAAGGACAUGAUCAAUGUCCACAUUCAGUCAUAGGACUCGGCUUUUAGAGGUAGUAGUGGUAGCCACGGCGGUGUGAUUUUCAUGUUUAUGGCUAAACCGGCUUCAUAUUUAGACAGAGCUUAUAGGGUGUUAAAAUAGUGUGAAUUCAGUCUAACACGAACAGUGCUCACAUUGUGCAAGAGCCGUAUGCAGGGCAUAGAAUCUAGACUUCGCUUAAUCCACCCUCAGCAAAGCUGACAUAAUGAUCCUAAGCCGCCUUUCUACAAAAUCAUUCAGGAAUUCAAAACGUUCCCUUUCCUCUCUCCGAGUUACACAUUCUCCCGGCUGACCAACGACUUCAAGCUUGGAGGGACAGUGAGUACCUCAAUGUGCAUGUAUAGUCAGUGCUGCCUGUUUAUGUCCACCACAAACCUUACUUGACGCGCUUAAACAACGUGAUUGCCGCCGAGCAAUUAGCCAACACUGGCGCACUAAAACGCGUUUUAGGUAAAGCAGUGCUUUAACUCGUGCGAACAUGUGCGUGCAGGAGUGGGCUGCGAGUGUCUGUGUCUGGAGGUGUAUGUGAUGCAGAGUGGGCGUUGUGAUGAUCUUGCAGCAGGGUCAGGCGUUUGGUUCGUGUGUUGCUUCUGGAGUUUGCGCGCGUGUUUGUGCGUGUGGGGGCAGGGUAGAGUAUGGGAUCAAACCUGCCCACUGCUGUCCUAUACGAACCUCAGGAGGACUAAUUCCAAGUGGCACUUGAAUUGGUCCCGUUGGAAAGCUCUGUGGACUGGAAGUAAAGGCUGGUAUUUUCAUGCUGGUGUUAAAACUAACCUCCUAGCCUAUACCCCCUCCUCUUUCUCUUUCUUUCUCACACACAUAUACACACAUGCAUGACCCCAACAUGAAGUUGAGAGUGCGGGCUUAGCAGCAUUUCUCCAAAUAUGCAAAGCCUCCUACCUGACCGGGUUCCUGGUGUACCAAUUUAGCUGAUCACCAUUCAACCCAAGGCUGCAGGUAUUAUGUAGCAUUAUGUUUUGGAGGAGCCUUGUUUGGGAGUAGCCCUCGCAGGCAAUUCGGAAAUCACUCUUAGAAAAGACUAGAGGUGAAAUGUAAAACCUGAAUGGGGAUUGAAGGAGAAAAGCCACUGGUAAUUCACAUUCUUUUACAUGGCUUUUGUUUACGUUAAGCAUGUAAUUAACACCUCCCAAACAAGUUUAUUCACCUGCCGUAAUUGUGUGUUUAUCCGAGAGCUUGCUGAAUGUUCCUAGCAGCGGGGGACGAGAGCUCUGAAUGCACAUUGAGCAUUUAGCGUCUUCUCCGUUUACUUACAGCCUAAACCUCCAAACAAGACAACACAAACAGCAUUUUGCAUGCUAAAAACUGGAAAUAUGCUGGUCAAGCAGGAACAGGCGUCCGUGUCUGUUAAGCAGCCGGAUCUCGCUUCCCAUUCCUUUUGGCAGAGCGUUAAAUGGAAUGUCAAACUUUGUGUAGAAAAGUUUUGUAUAAAUAAAACAAGUUACUACUGUGUUUUUUUAAGUUCUUAAUAUAAUAGGGUAAUACUGUUCAUUGAACACGAUAUGUUAGUCUUAUCGGAACAUAUUGCGUCUAAAAGUGCUCGUUAAUCUCCAUUAAGUAGUUAUUUUUCUUUUUCUGUCUGUUCCAAUAAGGGGAGCAAAUAAACAAAGCUGAUGUUACGUCACGUUUGGGAGUGAGAGAGGGAGAAGGGGACCGGAUGAGAGAAAGAAAGAAAAGGUGUUGACUGUAAAAGGUAAGAGGGAAAGAGAAGGCACGAAAGAAAGGGUCUUGUUUUAUUUUUUGCUCCCUCGUUGACCCCGGUUUGGCAGAAGCUUCCCAGAAAAGGCAGCACACCCCUCCUGGCAAACACAGGAGAGGCACAUGUGCCUACUGCUCCAUCCUGGAUUCAUCUCAACAUUACACAGACACAUUGGAGAAAUGACUGGGCUGUAAGCUGGCUCCAGUCAACGAGCGGUCACCAUUUGAGCUUGGAAGCUGUCGUUGGAGAUGGCACCGCUUCACGGUUAUUUCACUGGUCAGUUUGUCCAAAAGUAGGAUGGAAAUCGAGCUGCAACGUCUGUAAGUUCCGUCUGCGACGUUGUCGAGUCAUUAUUUUUGCGUACAAUUCAUUUAUUUAAACAAAAAUAUGGAAUUAAGCAUAAAAAAAACUUAACAGACCUUGAUAUGAGGCUAAUCUAUCCUUUAGAUCAGAAAAGUUACAUUUGGUGUUAUCUGACUUUUCUCUCACCGAGAAUCGGGGAGAUCUGUCUUUGCAGAGCAGAUGUGUGAUGCUGUCGGGACGGGCGCACAAUCGCCUCCAUCCCUUUGCUGGCUAGUCCAGGGUACGGAGUCGCUGCUUUCUCCCCACACUGUAAAAAGUAUCAGUCUAAAGGUGGCAUUUAAUGUAGCACUAAGUUUUAAAAAUACGGGGUUAUUUUGGGGAAAAUGAAUGGCUCUAUCAUACAUUUGGGAGAAGGAUGUAGAAGGAGACAUCUCAAUCUGAUAUAACUUUGUCUGCCUCUGUUUAAAGUUUCUCGUGAAAAUUUUAAGUUAGUACAAGAAAUGCAGAACUCCGCUUUCUUUAGAAAUAUUAUACCGCUUUCUUUAAAAAAAAUGCUAUGCAUAAAAUUUGUGCCACUGGAAUAUAUCUUCUUUUUUUUUUUUUACCGCAUAUGAGGAAAUUUUUACGAAAUGAAAACAAAUUGGAUAUUUUUUGCAGUGCAAAAAUACGAUUAAAGCAUAUAGUCAGCAGCUUUAACAACUGCAUUCUAUUUUUUAAAAGCAUUAAAAAUAUACAUUAGACCUGCAUAUGUGACGCUGUUACGAUUUGGUUCAUUCCAUAGUGAACUCAAGCGCCAAAACAAUUAAGUCGGUUGCAAUAUCUUAAAACAGCCACUCAAUAACAACUUGUGAUCACGUAAGCAAUAGGCAAAACCUCUGUUUACGUUUGCAGAUACAUGCACGACGCACAAUAGUGUCUAAAUUUAAACUUAAAGAAACAGAAAAACGCCAUGAUUGAAUUUAAAACAUUUUUUCACAGCAAAUGUGACUGAUCUGUAAACGUGGCUCCAACUUUAAUAGUAAAGCUUUUACAAAAGUUUUAACAUCUCUCUCUCUCUCUCUCUCUCUCCCUCCUUUCUUUUAUUGUUUUUAUUGUGUGGUCUCAUUAGGGGGACUUCCUGGCAGGGCUGGGAGCUUGUAUCGGAGCUGUCCAAUCAGUGUAUUUACACGGGUUGUUAGCGACAGUUAAUGAGGGCUCCUCCCCGGGCCGGUAGAGAAAGGCGCCUCAACAUUAAGAUUUACCUUGUGUCAACUCGUUACUUCUAAUGAACCUCCAUGCAAAAGCCUCCUCGUUCUCAAUGGAGCCGUGCGCCCGGAUCUUGUGUGUGAGACCCUGGAAGAGUGGAGCUGCAAGCCGGCCUCCCUCUCCCCCACCUCCUUUUCUUCCGCUCACUCAGGGAGUGUUGCUUUUUCUCUGCAGGCCCGGUUCUAUGAUGCAUGCAUGCAGUGUGUAUGUGUACAUGUUUGUGUGUGGGUACGUCUCCUCUUCAUGGAAUAUGGCGUUAGGAAUCCAAAUGUUUUCAUUAUAUAUUUAAAUUUGUGCAAAAGGGCUUUUCUCCAUGUAGAUUAACACAUAUUGGACUACAACGUAAAAUUAUACGUAGGCUAUAUAUUUACUUAAAAUGUGUUUAAUCGAUAAAGAAAAAAAACAGUCAUUAGAAGUGUGUUCUGAGACAAGACAUAGGCGUAAGAGGGUGUUUGUGUUUGCGUGCAGGUAUUACAAACCAUAUGUCUUCUAUUGUUUGGUGAAUGAGGCUUGACAUGUCAGCUUAUUGCCCCUGCAGAAGUAAGUUCAUUUAUAAUCACCCUCCAUCCCCACGAGAGCACCGAGGACAGAUCGGGCUCUGGCCCCUCUGUCCACCCCUCGUCUGGCCCCUAGUGAGGCUUGUUGAGCCGCAUCAGCAACACAUCACUGCCCCUCAAUUCAGGUACAAACUAGAGGAGUUUGGCAGCUCCCUGAAGUGGACUCCCCUCUUGCUCUUCUAGACCACAGAGACACCACUUAAAAAUCAAUUAGACUCGUCUAGUCUCUCCCUCAUCGCCAGUCAUUAUUAAAAAAAAGAGAGAGAGAAAGAAGGAAAAAAACAGGUGGGAACACCAAAUUUUAGGAAGGACUAAAACCAAAAUCCAACUUUUGAUUCUUCGUUUGCGAAGGAAAAUUUGCAUUUGUACCCUCUAGCUUUGAGAAGUGGUUAUCUGACAGACUGUAAGAUAAAAUAAACAGAAAAGUAAAGUCAAAUAUGUUUGCACACGAUAAUGUACACUUUGUUUUGCCAAAUCUACAUCCACCAGCAGCCAGCAGGUGAUAAAGUGGCCCAAACUAUAUUCUCACGGUUGUUGGCACUUUAUCACCUGCUGGUAAAAGUGACAGAAAACAGUUUGAUUUCCAUAUCUGUUAUAAAGGGAAAAGAAGGUUUUUAAGUAAUGUCAUUACUUACACAAUCCCUUUCUUCAUACCGUCAACAACGUAUUUAAUGCGCAUUUUCUCUUGGCGCCCUUUCCAGCAGCGGUUUAACCGCUCAGGCGCCUGGUCCUCCGUGUUACAGAUGUGCAGCAAUAUGACACAGCGCUGGAGGAGGCCUCGUGUUCACUCUUCCAGGUGGAUAGGCUGAUUUGGAGACAGAGAAACAGAGAAAUAAAUAUAAUGGCUGCAUAUCGAAUGCAUUGCCCCAAGCGCUACAUAUGAUGCUCACCUUGCCUUAUACGUUUUCCUAUUUUAUUUUUUAAACAGCUGAACAAUUUUUUAAAGCAAAGCAACCCCCUACUCUCACAGCACUCUUAUCUCCCAGCACCUAACCCCUGAAGAAUCUUCAUUAAUCUGCAUGUGUAGAUCUCAAAUUGUCCUGUAUAGAACUAACAGUAUAACCAGAUUGGUACUUUAAAAAAUAUGUACAGAAUUACAUAAAAAAAAAUCUGACUGUUUUGGAUUUGCCUGUCUAGGCUGAUUAAGCGCUCAGUCUCUGAGAUGCAGAUAGGAGUUGCGGAGAUGGCCCUUUAGCCCGGUGUCACAGGAGCUGACAAGCUGUAAUUACUGUGGCUGACAGGUCGCUCUCAAAGCUUACUAAUGUGAGAGAUGUGGAUACCACAGACAGCAUGCACACAGUCGAGGCUACUCAACACUUUGGCCACGUAGUGCCUUUUUAACCCCUGUUUAGAUGCUGCUGGGCUGGCCACAUGCUCCGCAGAUGACCUUUUCCAUUUUAACAUUUCAGUAAUGAAAUAGCCACUUAUUUGCGAGCUAGUGAUAUGGCAGUAGAGAUGUGAAUGAGAAAAAAAUACACAUAAGACGGGUGAAAAGUUUUUUAACUUUCAUGCAGUUAUUUUGUUUUCAGUUACGUUACAUUGAUUUGACAACUAUAGCUAUGUAACACUCCUAAAGAAGAAUAUGUUACACCCAAAUACAUGAUCAUUUGAAGAUAUUAUGUAAUGAUGCAGCUUUCACCUCCAGCCCCCAGUUAAUUUUUCAUUGACGUAAUACAGGUAAACUCAGUACAUCCAUAACAGAAAGUUUAAAUACUCACAUACUGAACACGUGGUACUGUUGCUUUAAUACUUUCAUUUUGUGCUGUUUUUUUUUUUAAUUAAUCCUUCAUUUUAGUGGGAAGUCAUGCAUGUUUUAUGUUUUUAUGUUUUACUUCCACAGCAGUUAUACAGCAAUAAAAUCCCAGUACAUCAGCGAAAGGUGUAAUCUAAAUAACUGCAGUAUUACUUUUGAUAGUGGAAAAAUUGUGCUAACACUUCUUUUCCACUUUUACAGAAUAAAACUGUAACCACAAGAUUUUUUUACUCAGUGAAGUACAUUUACAUUGUGGCUGCUUGGGAGCCUGGUUAGGGUUCUUUAUCUUUUUUAUAAGACAAGCUUUAUAAAUACAGACAGGUGACAUAUUAAAGGAAAAACAUGAACUUUUGACCCUUCCGUGAGGGGACUGGCAGCUCUGGUAUGCUGUGGGGUGCGCUUUACUGGCACAAUCUGGUUCCACUUGUCCCUUUAGAGGGAACAUUUGCAGUAUAUUAAUACAGAGUUGUUUUGAGUGAACACUUUUAGCUUUACGACACAGUUCUGUCUUGAUGAAAGUGGACCAUUCCAGGAUGAUGUUGCCCCCAUCCAAAGUUCAUGAGGGCUCCCUGGAUGGCUUGCAGAGUAUGAAAAUCAUACGAAUCAUAUGCAGUUGCUUCCACAGACAUCAACUGACAAAACAUCAAAUGAGCAAAGAACUUUCGGAAGAACUGUGGCCCGUCCUUCCAGUGACUUUAGACUUUAGAUGUCAAGAACCUAAAAUUGUUCUGGCAGCACAUCGUGGUUUAACAAUCUAAAUUUUGUAUUUAACUUCAACCUGUCAUCUACCUGCAUUGCAUUCCACAAUAUAAGAUGCUGGAUUUUGCCAUAAGUUUAACCAGUAUGCAGUGCUCUAGUACAUGCAGUUGCUGCCUCUCUCACAAUAGAAUAGCCCUUCAUCAUCAACAAAACCUACAGAGCCUAAUUUCCUCAGUGGAUAAAACUCUAAUUGAUGCUUCAGUUUGUAAUAGAGUAAUGUAAGAAAUCUAUAGAUCCAGACUGAGUAAUCCACCCUCCCCUUUCGCGUGACUAUGUGAAGGUCACAGUCACAGUUUAACCCAUAUUUCCGUGUCACAUGCUGAUUGUUUGGAUGAUUGUGUGAUAGCGAAGCAUGCACCUAGCAUCUUUCUCGCUCACAUUUUAAUUUUAAUUUAUAACUUGUUAAACUAAAUUUUCCAUUUUCCAUGAAUUCUUUUGCAGUUUAGGAGAACGAUCAUCUUCGUGUCAAGCUCACCUGUAGAACAAUGAACACAUAUCCUGUUUCACUUGGACUGUCAUAGGUUUUUGUGUUUGUGUGGAGGGUUUUUUUUUGUUUUGUUUUUGAAUGUUUAUUGUGACUGAGCUUGCACUUGGUUCGGUUUCUGAGUUUUUUUGUUGUUGUUGUUUUUUUUUAAUAUCUAGAUACAUUUCCCGUUUAUUCUUAAUCUCUUGCUAGGAUCAAAUAACAUGUUAAUAUCCUUUGGCUUUUUCCGUUGUUUCAAAUUGGCUUCCUUAGCUUGCGGCAUAAUUUGGUUUACUCGCUCUCCCCCUCUCUCUCCCCUGUCCUCUCCUCUCCUUGACUGCAGCUUUUGACAUUACUCCUCUCGAUUGCCCGUUUACCCCCAAGUCAAGUUUGAGGUAGGCAUGAAGUGUAAAAGAGGUGGGCCAUGUCAUAUCCGCUCAGUGUGCAUGGGAUUGUCUGCUUCCACGGCUGUAAUUAUUGUUGUGGAGAACAAUUCAUGCACAGAGUGCCCGGGCAAGCAGGAAGGUAGCAUAUCAGAGAAAGAACAGUCUCAAAGUUGGAUCAUGAAGGUUUUUUUCUCGGCAGAAGUAGAAAUAUGGGUUGGUUUUAUGUGAGGCACAAUCGCAUUUAGAAGUUUACCUAUUUUGCUUGUAUAUUUGGAUAGAUUUGGCUUGCAUUAAAAUCAUUUAGCCUACUAUAGCGAUUACUUUGCUUUAAGGGAUUUUGUGAAAAUAAUCUAAGGGUACUCUCCCACUUGGACUCCACUUCAAGGAUAUUAAUAUUAAUGUGAAAUAACUACUUUAACAACACAGCUGCUUUGACAGCCCCAGGUGCAUAUUAAAGUUUAUUUGAAUGAAUUAAACGAAUAAAAAGUCUCAGAGAAACAGACUUGCCUUAUAUAAGUUCAUGAUGAGGCUACUAGACGACUCUUAAAUAUGAUUCCACUUGGAGAACAUAAAUAUUUAAUCCGAAGUAACUUAUAUUUAUGCAAAGUCUAGUAAGUACAGUCUGCAAUAUUUAUUUAUUGUUUGGCCACUCAGCCUUUGAAGAAGUUUAAUGGAAUACCCAGUGGACAAAACUGCAGCUACAUGGUGUUUUAAGUUACCUGCAUUCAUCCGAGUGUGCAGGGGGAAAGAAGAAGAAAAGAAGUUGCUGAACUAUUUACCUAAUUGUUCCCGAAAAUCUAUGUAGAUUUAUGUAGCUAAGAUUAGGCGUAGGUGUCGUGACUUUUGUUUUUACACAGUCUUAGGUGUGUGUUUAUCGAAUACGUCACCGUAGCAGCCAAUCAGAAACGGGGAACGGAACUAACCGUCCUAUAACUAGAUAUUAGUUUACAAGAUAAUAACGGAGGGAUGCUGCGACCGAUGAGCCGGUUACUCACGGGUGAACAGAGCCAGUCCAAUCUGAUUUGUGUAGGCUACCCAUCUCCAUUUGACUCCCAGGAUCAAUAGCUGAUGUCUGAGAGAAAGGGGGGGAGGGGGGAGAAAGGAAAGGAAAGGAAAAGAAAGGUGCAACAGGUUAAAUAGAAAAUGACCAUUAUUAGACACACAACUUCUAUCAUACCGUUAAUAUAUAAUCUCAUCAAUAUUUUAUUUUCUCAACUUUUCUUUUUUUUCUUUUUAGCCUGUCAUUAAAAUUAGUUUAACUUAUUAAUGCUCAAAUACAUUAUUAUUAUUAUUAUUAUUAUUAUUAUUAUUAUUAUUAUUAUUAUUAUUAUUAUUAUUAUUAUUAUUAUUAUUAUUAUUCCUACAAUCGAAUUAUUUCCUAUCUGAGUGUGUGGGGGGUAAAUUUUGCCUCCACACAAGGCUGAUUGGCUUUUGCAGUAUCAGUAGUUUGUAUCAGGUUAGUGGGCUGUGCACUCACCCAGUCCUUACUACUGAAACCAUAAUAUUUUCAUGCACUGGGCUCAAACACACGCUGCUGAAAUCAGUGGAGCCUGCAUAUGACCUGCAAUCUUUUCUGUGCAGCUUACUUGCGCAUAUACAAAAACCCUGAAGUGAUACCCAGGCCACAAAGCGACAGUCACCGCAAGUAUUGCAAUAGCACAUAAAUACUAACAUAAACCGAACAAAACAAACUUGACCUAUAUCCGCCUUCCUAUAUGGCGCAUUGAGAUAUUUCAGCGUUUUUGUUGUUGUUCAUUCAUUAUUCAGGUUUAGAUUAUUAUGGAUGGCAGAUGUCAGAGCGUGAUGGAGAUGUUUAUGUUUGACUGAUUUAAGAAGCCAUUAUCCCGCCCGCUUAUCAAACAUUCAUGUGUGGCAGCUGUAGUUGUGGAUCUGCCCUCCGUCGUGUCUCCUGUGGCCGCUUCAUUUCUCUUCUUAAGCAACCACGACCUUUCCACUCAGUUAACCUAUUAUCUUUAACAUUUAGAGGCAGCUUUACUCCAUCAGAAGAAGAAAUAAUCUAAAAGCAUUAGACACAGACUAUAUAUCAGAGAAAAAGAAAUAUAUGUGAAAAAAUAUACAUCUAACAGAAAAGAACGUAACCCUUUAUGGCACAGCCAUGUAGAAGAAAACACUAUAGGUUGAAAUUGCGAGCUCGACACAGUAGCGUAUCAGCUGGCCUUUCAGCAGAUAGGAUAAAGCUGUCUAAUGUCCAAUAGACUGUAAGUGUCGCAAAACACCCGGAAUAGCACAGGAACAGUAAGUAAAAAUGCGCAACAGAACGUCUUAAUAUUAUAUAGUCCAAAUUAGAUGAAUAUUAAAUUUACAAUUGCUUAAAGUUAUUGAUACUUUACCCACAAUUAGUCUUUACAGCUAAUGACAGAUUUGUAAACAUCCUAAUGAAACAGUCUGGCAGUAUGCAGAGCAAUUAAUUCUGACGGGAGUCAUCAAAGGCGUCACUAUUUUAUUGCUUUAAUGCGACUUUUAGUUGUUAAGCAAAAUAAGAUCCAAACGAGCUUUUUUCUUUGCAGAAAAUUCACUCAGCUAAGUUCACACUGAGGCACUAGUACAGCACGCUCAUAACGAGCCUUAACUUAGAUUGAUUGGAUUGGGAAAUAGUGACGCUUUUCUUUUUGAUAAAUUUCUUGUUAUGCAGCAAUAAUAUCGAGAUUAUAAUGAGGUUUGAGGCAGGCUAUUUGCGUUAUCAUACAAUUUAAAAUUAGACGUUAAGAAAAGAAAAGAAAAGAAAAGAAAAGAAAAGAAAAGAAAAGAAAAGAAAAGAAAAGAAAAGAAAAGAAAGGUUUUUCCAAAUUUCAGAACGGGUUGUUCUUGUUUUGUUUGUUUUUUACUCAAUGUUGAUUUUACCCAUUAAAUCCACCAUCAAAUGAGAUAUAAAAGAGAUUUAACUUUAAGUUUAAUAUUAGCCAAAAGUGAGAAAAAAUAUUUUUAAGAAAUCCUUUUGCUUCAGCCUAAUAUUUUCUCUCCCUGUCGGCUGAGGCUGCACAGACCAUCCAGCGUCCGCACUUUGUAAUUGCCCUGUGAACACGGUAGUUUUCAUUCUUUUGACCCUUCCAUGAACAGCACGCCGCCGCCCUCGCUUGCUCCCCUCCACCCCAUCCAAACAGACCCACACAAUGCUGCGUGUGCGUGCGCGCUCUGCGGUAUGUGGGCUAAAUGUCGUGCAGAGGUAAUGGGAAGUAGUCGGAUGGUAGGGUCGCGAGUUCACGGCGGGGUUAAAGAGACCCGUCCGUGGCUCCUGUUUGCUUUUUUUCCACAACUCCGCUUCCUUCCUACAGGAGGAUGUGUCCAGUGUGCCACCGUCCUCACCUCGCAACAACCCCGUCACUGCACAGACCGUGUUUGUUUUUCUGCGUUUAUUAAAUCUUCCCCCGGCAGGAAAACGACCAGUAUCACCACGUCACUGGGUGCUGGUGAGUUUAGCACUUUGCAUCCCUCCUCUGCUCCCUGAGAAUGCUUUUGUGUUUGGACUUGUGAAGUCUCGCGUCUAUUUAUAUCCUCACAUGCAGGCUGUCUGUUCAACACUUUCCCCCCUUCAGUUUAUCAUAUUUCUUCAAGGUUUUUUCAAGGUUUUUUUUGUUCCAGAAUCACAGCUGACACAUUUUAAAAUAAAAUCCAAAAAACAAAAAAAUAACUUUUAUUGUACACCAAGAAUCAGAUUAAUAAUACCUAACAAUAAAGGACAACUUCAGCUGUUUCACCCAAUAAAGAGGUUCCCAUGCACUUUUUGUACUUUAUUUAAAAACAUUUGAUCAUUAAUAAAUUUUGUCAUCAAAAAAGACAGCGACCUCCCUCAUAAUGAACAAAACAGUCUCCCACCUACGCCCCUUAUCAAGUUUUUUUUUUUUGAUGAAUCCGGAGCAUAAACCAUAUUUAAGCAGCACGACAAUGAUGUAAGUUGUUAAAAGAGAAAAAAAAGAGCAGAGAUUAUUAUUAUCUCAUUAAGGAUAACUGCCUGCAGGUCCGCUGGGUUAUCCGCCAUUUUAAUUGCCGCUGCAUCAUUAUUCAGGCCUUUAACCAUUUUAUAGGGUUUUCCUCUAAUGAAAUGAGGAUGUGUGCAUUAUGGAAAUUGCAUCUCUAUAUGAUGUAGAUUAUUCUCUUGAGAAACCACGUAAAAUAUUAAUCAUUGAAGCCGUAUAUGAUAACAUUUCCUCCUCUAUUGUAUUUGCCAUUCUAGCUCUCUAUUCUUGUGUGUCUUCUGUCUCUGCAGGUGGCAGGUAGGUGCUAUUUCAGUUUACUUUACAGCUUCUUUUUUCUAGUUUGUGAAGUUUAACAAGGGGAUCUGAAUUGAAAGUAGUUUUUUAUACAAGACAAGGAAAAUAUUUAGUGUCCAUAUUGAAAAAGUUUUUUCUUUUGCAGUUAGUUUUCUAUUACAGCUUUGUUAAUAAAACAACAAUAACAACGUGUUUUAAAACCAGUUUGGUGUCACAUUUGCUUUAAAUAAUUGAUUUAUACAUGGUUUGGAAAACUAGCAGGGUACAAAAAAGACAUGUACACAUGGAAAAUACUAUCACAUGAUCAACAAUAUUUUUACUAUGUAAAGAAAUGGAAACUAACAUUGUCCCUUUAUAAUAGAAUACAUUAGUUGAAUGUAGAGUAAAUCAAAUUUACUGUAACACAUUAAAAGACAUUAAUACAACAUUUAUAAUUACUCUUUACAAACCAAAAUAAAGGUAGUUUUAUCCUUCUGUUCAUAUACUAAGAAUUUUCAGCUGCACAUAUUGCUAAAUAAAACCCAUGUAGUCAAUAAUUUCACAUAGAGGAUAACCCGUGAGAUUAAAUAUGUAAAACCAUACAUUAACAAAGAGAACAGCUACAUAUAGAUGAAUCUAAAAAGCAAAAUAAAUAAACAAAUGCAUAAAACUGCUCAUAUACCCUUUUUUAGGGGAAGAAAAGAUGGUGGGAUAAAAAGAUGGACAACAAAGGGGUUAAUAGAGAAAUGGGAUAAAAGAGAAAAUACUUAAGAAAUAGAGAGACUGUAAGAAGAGAAAGAGCUGAGAAGUCAUAUAUCCUCAAAGCAGGGGAUUGAGAUUCAUCUGACAGAAACAAGACAAAAACAGAAGGAGAGACCAACAGAGGUACAGUGGGGUUUUGCAUUGGCAUGGAGAGGGUCUGUUUUGUUGUUACCUUCCCUCUGUUUUUCUCUUUCUCUGUGUCUCUCAUCCUCUCUCUUUCGCUUUGUGUUCAUAUAGAGACAUCUAUACUGGAGACAGGAGAGUGAGAGAGAGAGAGAGAAUUUGGUCGUCUGCCUAUCUCCUCCUCACCAUGGCGCCCCUGAGACCAAGCAAGCAAGGAGAGUACACAUACACACACACUUUUACCCGCCGCUGAGGAGAACAGCUUGGCUCUGUGUUACACUGAAAACCCCACUUUCCCUCAGUCAGACAGACAGGUAGACAGCUGGGUGUUACACUAAAUCCUCUCCCCCAUGUGUUCCUCCUAACACUGGCUCUGCUCUUUCUGUCACUUCUCUGUGUCUGCUCCUUUCUUUAUCUCAUAGCUCGUGCUUUAAAGCAGAAGAAAAGAGUCAGCCCUGGAAUAAAAUAAAACUAUGAUAUGAUUGUAAAAUGUAGAGUAGUUUAUGAAUAGUUUAGAGGAGAUGUCAGGUUUUAAAAUUAAAGGAUUAGUCAAUGGAAACAGCCAUUUAUGAUGCACUGAAAAUAAAACAUAGUGUCUCCCACAGAAGUGUUAUCUGUCCCUUCUCUUGUCUCUCUCUCUCUACCCUGACCCCAAGUUCGCUUCUUCUAAGCACCACUUCACCCUAAGCCUACAUUUUGUGUGUGUGUGUGUGUGUGUGUGUGUGUGUGUGUGUGUGUGUGUGUGUGUGUGUGUGUGUGUGUGUGUGCUGAGAGCUUUUUGAUUUCUUGUGUAUGUGUGUGACAGAGAAAGGGAGAUGAGAGAGGAUGAUGGUCAGGCUUGGCCUACUGACUCAUCCACAGAGAGAACUGUGUUAAUACAGGAAUGAAGCCAUCACACACUUGCACACACACCCCCACACACACAUAGACAGCCUCUUCCCAUCAGUCUUUUGUUGCACUUGCCAGUGAUGAUGAUCUCACCACAUAGCAGGACUGAGCCUCAAUAGUCAUCGAGUUUGUCAGUAUGGCAGACAGACAGGCAGCCAGUCAAUAUGGCCAUCAGUCAUGCAGCCAGGCAGUCAGUCAGUAAGCAACAGCUAAUUAUCAAAAUUGUAAGUUAUUCAGGCACUUAGGUGGGGAGUUAGAUAUCAGAUAAUGUAGAUAAUGUAAUCUCAGCCAGCUGACUGUAUUUGGUGUCAUUACGUCAGCCUUAAAAUUUGCUUUCUCUUUAGAAGAAAACUGACAUCAUACAUAACAGAAAGACAGAAGAAAGAGGCACAAACUCAUCUCUGUCAUCAAACUCUGUGUUUGAAUUUCCUGCCCAAGACUCAGAUUGAAAUCCUAAUAAGCAUGCCAGGUCAACAAAAAAGUCCUGAAAACUGGGAGAACUGGAGCAUUCAAGUUCAGGCAAGAUCUUUAAAGAAUCUAUCCCCACUUUCAUUUCCAUCAGGAUCAACUGUAGGAGACCGUUUAUAACGUCUCCCCUCCAAACAGACUUUGAGGCUGCAGAUGAUUUGAUUGUUCUAACAAAGAAGAAGAAAACAGAACUUGUAAAAUUAACAAUGGCACUGUAUCUCUGAAAAUCCCCACAUGGUAAUAGACCCAAAACGGGUUUUUUUGGUGUAGGUCUUACUGUAUUUGCACUCUUUAGCUCUCAUGUCAUGCGAUAGUAGUGUGUUAACUGUUCCUACAAAACAUGCAGAUGCAGCAUUUAGUUGCACUGCAUACAACUAACAUGCAUUUCCAACCGACUGAUGUUCAUUCACCAAACAAACACUUUAUAAUUUGCUUCAUUGCAAACACUUAAUUUUCUAUGUAAAAUGUAUUAAAAUGUAUUGCAUUGCAUUUUGUAUUUAGCUGUUUUAUGGGUUAUGUAACUUGCCUUUGUAUAAGACAUGUCCCAUAUGAAUAAACAUCAUUUGUAUUCUUUGCUUUCAUUGUAUUCAAAUCUGAGCUUUGUUAUGUUUCUUUAGUUAAAAAUAAAAAUAUAUUAUAAAA